rnacentral:rRNA from 1 species
CAGUCGCCGCGGUAAUACGUAGGUCCCGAGCGUUGUCCGGAUUUAUUGGGCGUAAAGCGAGCGCAGGCGGUUAGAUAAGUCUGAAGUUAAAGGCUGUGGCUUAACCAUAGUACGCUUUGGAAACUGUUUAACUUGAGUGCAAGAGGGGAGAGUGGAAUUCCAUGUGUAGCGGUGAAAUGCGUAGAUAUAUGGAGGAACACCGGUGGCGAAAGCGGCUCUCUGGCUUGUAACUGACGCUGAGGCUCGAAAGCGUGGGGAGCAAACAGGAUUAGAUACCCGCGUAGUCCCUGUCUCUUAUACA